rnacentral:ribozyme from 14 species
GGACAGAAUGGAGCAAAAACCAGGAAUCAAGAACAAAAAGGCAGAGAUGUGAAAUGGUAGUAGCAAACUUUUGCCUGCAAUUGAUUGAUCCAUUUCUUUUUUUCUUUAUUGAUAU